CAGAAAGAGGAGAGAAGGAAAGAGGUGAAUGCUGAACUCUGCAGUCUAAAAGGUGCACCAGAGAUGCUGACCUCCAAACACUCUUCUUCACCCACAGGAGGCCUAAAGAUAGGAAACAAUCGAUGGUAAGCCGUAUGGAUCGGAGAGCUUCGUCGAACGUUGAAGCUUUGAGGAGGCAAUCGUCUAGCAUGUCGUUUGUGGUGGAGGCAAAAAGUUUUUCCCCAUCGAAGGGAAGAUCUUCAAUGGUGCUCUGGACCUCUCGAGGGAAGAAGGAGGAAGAGAGCCAUGAACCCCGUCGCAUGACCACCGCUGUGGCGGUCGACCUUGCUGCAGUGUUAGCUACAUCGAGGGCCGCUUGGAGAGCGG